CGAGCAGCGAGGGAGGCCGUUCUGACACCAAGGUGCCCACGCCUGUGAGGUAGCUCUCCUGGGACAGGCAGGGAAGGAGGUCCUGAAGAUGGCUAAAGUUGGCAAGAUGAAAACCAGGCGGUAUGGCAGAAAGUUCCAGAAGUCAGAAGAGUACAUUGUGACAUCACAUCCGAGAGCUGAUCAAAAAAAGCGUUUGUGCGUCCAUUCUGAGCACAUUCAUUUCUAUCUUGGCGCAGACCUUAAGGGCGGUGUUCGAGGCCAUUGUUCAGUAUAUGCUCCUCUUGCACUGUUGGGAGGGGUUGCCUAAUAAUAGCUGAAGAAAUGCCAAAUAUUUUAAACUCUACCUUCUCGCCUGUACGCAACGAAAUUUUCUUGUUCCUCACAGUUACAUCUGACGGAGACAGUAAUUCAUUCCAGAUGUCCGAGUCAAAACAGAUAUUUCUUAGGGCUCACGAAUGAGACGAAGGGGGUACAGAAGAAAGGUGAAUUUCCAUAUGCUUUUUUAAAAAUACAUUUAUAAUUGAACAGACCUUGAAA